UACGUAGGGGGCAAGCGUUGUCCGGAAUCAUUGGGCGUAAAGAGCGUGUAGGCGGCCCGAUAAGUCCGCUGUGAAAGUCCAGGGCUCAACCCUGGAAUGCCGGUGGAUACUGUCGGGCUCGAAUCCGGAAAAGGUGAGUGGAAUUCCUGGUGUAGCGGUGAAAUGCGUAGAUAUCAAGAGGAACACCUGAGGUGAAGACGGGUUGCUGGGCUGACACUGACGCUGAGGCGCGAAAGCCAGGGGAGCAAACGGG
rnacentral:rRNA from 1 species